rnacentral:tRNA from 2 species
GCGGAAGUGGUGGAAUUGGUAGACACGCCAGCUUGAGGGGCUGGUGUCUUAACAGACGUGCGGGUUCAAGUCCCGCUUUCCGCACCA